GAUGAACGCUGGCGGCGUGCCUAAUACAUGCAAGUCGAGCGAACAGACGAGGAGCUUGCUCCUCUGACGUUAGCGGCGGACGGGUGAGUAACACGUGGAUAACCUACCUAUAAGACUGGGAUAACUUCGGGAAACCGGAGCUAAUACCGGAUAAUAUAUUGAACCGCAUGGUUCAAUAGUGAAAGACGGUUUUGCGGUCACUUAUAGAUGGAUCCGCGCCGCAUUAGCUAGUUGGUAAGGUAACGGCUUACCAAGGCAACGAUGCGUAGCCGACCUGAGAGGCUGAUCGGCCACCCUGGAACGGAGACACGGUCCAGACUCCUACGGGAGGCAGCAGUAGGGAAUCUUCCGCAAUGGGCGAAAGCCUGACGGAGCAAGGCCGCGUGAGUGAUGAAGGUCUUCGGAUCGUAAAACUCUGUUAUUAGGGAAGAACAAAUGUGUAAGUAACUAUGCACGUCUUGACGGUACCUAAUCAGAAAGCCACGGCUAACUACGUG
rnacentral:rRNA from 1 species